rnacentral:rRNA from 1 species
UACAGAGGUCCCGAGCGUUGUUCGGAUUCAUUGGGCGUAAAGGGUGCGUAGGCGGUUUUUUAAGUUUGAUGUGAAAUCCCGGGGCUCAACCCUGGAAUUGCAUUGAAUACUGAAGAACUAGAGAUCUGGAGAGGAAACUGGAAUUUACGGUGUAGCAGUGAAAUGCGUAGAGAUCGUAAGGAAGACCAGUGGCGAAGGCGGGUCGCUGGACAGUUCCUGACACUGAGGCACGAAGGCCAGGGGAGCAAACGGG